rnacentral:rRNA from 1 species
ACGGGUGAGUAACGCGUGGGAAUCUACCUAUCUCUACGGAAUAACGCAUGGAAACGUGUGCUAAUACCGUAUACGUCCUUCGGGAGAAAGAUUUAUCGGAGAUGGAUGAGCCCGCGUUGGAUUAGCUAGUUGGUGGGGUAAAGGCCUACCAAGGCGACGAUCCAUAGCUGGUCUGAGAGGAUGAUCAGCCACACUGGGACUGAGACACGGCCCAGACUCCUACGGGAGGCAGCAGUGGGGAAUAUUGGACAAUGGGCGCAAGCCUGAUCCAGCCAUGCCGCGUGAGUGAUGAAGGCCCUAGGGUUGUAAAGCUCUUUCACCGGUGAAGAUAAUGACGGUAACCGGAGAAGAAGCCCCGGCUAACUUCGUGCCAGCAGCCGCGGUAAUACGAAGGGGGCUAGCGUUGUUCGGAUUUACUGGGCGUAAAGCGCACGUAGGCGGACUAUUAAGUCAGGGGUGAAAUCCCGGGGCUCAACCCCGGAACUGCCUUUGAUACUGGUAGUCUUGAGUUCGAGAGAGGUGAGUGGAAUUCCGAGUGUAGAGGUGAAAUUCGUAGA